rnacentral:rRNA from 1 species
GAAAAAUAACGAUACGGGACUCAUCCGAGGCCCCGUAAUCGGAAUGAGUACACUUUAAAUCCUUUAACGAGUAUCCAUUGGAGGGCAAGUCUGGUGCCAGCAGCCGCGGUAAUUCCAGCUCCAAUAGCGUAUAUUAAAGUUGUUGCGGUUAAAAAGCUCGUAGUUGGACUUGUGUCCCACGCUGUCGGUUCACCGCCCGUCGGUGUCUAACUGACAUGUAUCGUGGGACGUCCUGCCGGUGGUGGCGAGUCGAAAGAUCGCGCCCCCGCGGUUCUUCCGUGGGUAGGUUGCGGUUCGUAGACGGACCCCGAUGAAAUCCUACCGCGGUGCUCUUAAACGAGUGUCGAGGUGGGCCGGCACGUUUACUUUGAACAAAUUAGAGUGCUUAAAGCAGGCCUGAUGCGCCUGAAUACUGUGUGCAUGGAAUAAUGGAAUAGGACCUCGGUUCUAUUUUGUUGGUUUUCGGAACCCGAGGUAAUGAUUAAUAGGGACAGUCGGGGGCAUUCGUAUUGCGACGUUAGAGGUGAAAUUCUUGGAUCGUCGCAAGACGGACCGAAGCGAAAGCAUUUGCCAAGUAUGUUUUCAUUAAUCAAGAACGAAAGUUAGAGGUUCGAAGGCGAUCAGAUACCGCCCUAGUUCUAACCAUAAACGAUGCCAGCUAGCGAUCCGCCGAAGUUCCUCCGAUGACUCGGCGGGCAGCUCCCGGGAAACCAAAGCUUUUGGGUUCCGGGGGAAGUAUGGUUGCAAAGCUGAAACUUAAAGGAAUUGACGGAAGGGCACCACCAGGAGUGGAGCCUGCGGCUUAAUUUGACUCAACACGGGAAACCUCACCAGGCCCGGACACUGGAAGGAUUGACAGAUUGAGAGCUCUUUCUUGAUUCAGUGGGUGGUGGUGCAUGGCCGUUCUUAGUUGGUGGAGCGAUUUGUCUGGUUAAUUCCGAUAACGAACGAGACUCUAGCCUGCUAAAUAGUCGCAUCCGGUAU